rnacentral:rRNA from 1 species
CCUGGAGACUCCUACGGGAGGCAGCAGUGGGGAAUAUUGCGCAAUGGGGGCAACCCUGACGCAGCCAUGCCGCGUGAAUGAAGAAGGCCUUCGGGUUGUAAAGUUCUUUCGGUAGCGAGGAAGGCAUUUAGUUUAAUAGACUAGGUGAUUGACGUUAACUACAGAAGAAGCACCGGCUAACUCCGUGCCAGCAGCCGCGGUAAUACGGAGGGUGCGAGCGUUAAUCGGAAUAACUGGGCGUAAAGGGCACGCAGGCGGUGACUUAAGUGAGGUGUGAAAGCCCCGGGCUUAACCUGGGAAUUGCAUUUCAUACUGGGUCGCUAGAGUACUUUAGGGAGGGGUAGAAUUCCACGUGUAGCGGUGAAAUGCGUAGAGAUGUGGAGGAAUACCGAAGGCGAAGGCAGCCCCUUGGGAAUGUACUGACGCUCAUGUGCGAAAGCGUGGGGAGCAAACAGGAUUAGAUACCCUUGUAGUCCU